rnacentral:rRNA from 1 species
GAUGAACGCUAGCGGCAGGCUUAAUACAUGCAAGUCAAGGGGCUAGCAAUGGCACCGGCGGACGGGUGAGUAACGCGUACACAACGUACCUUUAACUGGGGGAUAGCAUCUGGAAACGGGUGGUAAUACCGCAUGUGGUUGCGAGGAGGCAUCUCCUUGUAACUAAAACUUUGGUGGUUAGAGAUCGGUGUGCGUCUGAUUAGCUAGUUGGUAGGGUAGAGGCCUACCAAGGCGACGAUCAGUAGGGGGCGUGAGAGCGUGAACCCCCACACGGGUACUGAGACACGGACCCGACUCCUACGGGAGGCAGCAGUAAGGAAUAUUGGUCAAUGGAGGGAACUCUGAACCAGCCAUGCCGCGUGAAGGAAGAAGGCGCUACGCGUUGUAAACUUCUUUUGGGUGGGACGAAAAUAAUCCAUUUAUGGAUAGCUGACGGUACCAUCAGAAUAAGCACCGGCUAACUCCGUGCCAGCAGCCGCGGUAAAGGUAGUACA